GCGCCGAUGGUCUAGCGGUAUGAUUCUCGCUUAGGGUUCACCCUAAAGCUUAGCUUGCGAGAGGUCCCGGGUUCAAUCCCCGGUUGGCGCC
rnacentral:tRNA from 1 species